rnacentral:rRNA from 1 species
CGGACGGGUGAGUAAUGUCUGGGAAACUGCCUGAUGGAGGGGGAUAACUACUGGAAACGGUAGCUAAUACCGCAUAAUGUCUGCGGACCAAAGCGGGGGACCUCCGGGCCUCGCGCCAUCAGAUGAACCCAUAUGGGAUUAGCUUGUAGGUAAGGUAACGGCUUACCUAGGCGACGAUCCCUAGCUGGUCUGAGAGGAUGAUCAGCCACACUGGGACUGAGACACGGCCCAG